rnacentral:rRNA from 1 species
GAUGAACGCUGGCGGCGUGCUUAACACAUGCAAGUCGAACGAUGAAGCCCAGCUUGCUGGGUGGAUUAGUGGCGAACGGGUGAGUAACACGUGAGUAACCUGCCCUUAACUCUGGGAUAAGCCUGGGAAACUGGGUCUAAUACCGGAUAGGAGCGCCUACCGCAUGGUGGGUGUUGGAAAGAUUUAUCGGUUUUGGAUGGACUCGCGGCCUAUCAGCUUGUUGGUGAGGUAAUGGCUCACCAAGGCGACGACGGGUAGCCGGCCUGAGAGGGUGACCGGCCACACUGGGACUGAGACACGGCCCAGACUCCUACGGGAGGCAGCAGUGGGGAAUAUUGCACAAUGGGCGAAAGCCUGAUGCAGCGACGCCGCGUGAGGGAUGACGGCCCUCGGGUUGUAAACCUCUUUCAGUAGGGAAGAAGCGAAAGUGACGGUACCUGCAGAAGAAGCACCGGCUAACUACGUG